rnacentral:rRNA from 1 species
GAUGAACGCUGGCGGCGUGCCUAAUACAUGCAAGUCGAGCGAACAGAUGAGGAGCUUGCUCCUCUGACGUUAGCGGCGGACGGGUGAGUAACACGUGGAUAACCUACCUAUAAGACUGGGAUAACUUCGGGAAACCUGAGCUAAUACCGGAUAAUAUAUUGAACCGCAUGGUUCAAUAGUGAAAGACGGUUUUGCUGUCACUUAUAGAUGGAUCCGCGCCGCAUUAGCUAGUUGGUAAGGUAACGGCUUACCAAGGCAACGAUGCGUAGCCGACCUGAGAGGGUGAUCGGCCACACUGGAACUGAGACACGGUCCAGACUCCUACGGGAGGCAGCAGUAGGGAAUCUUCCGCAAUGGGCGAAAGCCUGACGGAGCAACGCCGCGUGAGUGAUGAAGGUCUUCGGAUCGUAAAACUCUGUUAUUAGGGAAGAACAAAUGUGUAAGUAACUAUGCACGUCUGGACGGUACCUAAUCAGAAAGCCACGGCUAACUACGU